rnacentral:lncRNA from 1 species
GAUAAAUGGAGAAUGCUGCCCCAUGUGUGCACCAGGAAACCGGGUGUAUAAACACUGCACUGAGUUUACCAGCACCACCUGUGUUCCAUGUUCUAAUUCAUCUUACACCUCCCAACCCAACGGCCUCCUCUCCUGCCUGCUCUGUACACUCUGUGAUCCAGCAGGAUAAUGACCAGAAACCCACUGCAGCCUGGAAAAUCACCACAGAAGAAGAAUCCAGAAGAUCAAUGAUGUCAGUGGAUCACAGACGUGAUGCAGUUACUGCAAGUGAAGGAUUUACAACUAAAUAUUUAUGAUAAGUCUUAUUCACUUUAUUUUAGUUUAAGUUUAUCUGUUCCAAUACUUUUUACUCAUAAUAAAAAUGUAUGGUUUCAGACA